rnacentral:miRNA from 1 species
UCACCAGGAGGAAGUUGGGUCA